GAAUAACGACCUGGCAAAUCUUAUUAAAAGAAUGGGACCAUGAAGUCCUCAUUGAAACUUUCGAAGUAAAUGGAAUUGAUGAUGAUAGUUUCUGGCUGUUGGAGAGCGUGGAAAUUAAAGAGCUUAUUCCAAAGAUGGGACCUAGGCUAAAAUUCAUCAAAAAAUUCUCUGUACAGUAACUGCUGCCAAAAAUAAUCAACAUGUCAUCUUUCAUCUGCUGCAAAUGUCUUUCUAAAAUUCCUGGAGGAAUUUCUGGGCUAUUUUGCCACCUGAAAGUAGUCCAUGGUAUACUAAAAUCUACUUGCACAAAACUUGUUUGUGUAGAAUGUAAGGAAAUUUUGCGCAGUGGAUCAUCAUACAAAAGGCACCUCAUACAUGUCAUAGGGCAUUUGCAACCCCCUCAGUUCACGCUGAUGACC